rnacentral:rRNA from 1 species
CCUUACACAUGCAAGUCGAACGGCAGCGCGGACUUCGGUCUGGCGGCGAGUGGCGAACGGGUGAGUAAUACAUCGGAACGUGUCCUUGUAGUGGGGGAUAGCCCGGCGAAAGCCGGAUUAAUACCGCAUACGAUCUACGGAUGAAAGCGGGGGAUCGCAAGACCUCGUGCUGGAGGGGCGGCCGAUGGCGGAUUAGCUAGUUGGUGGGGUAAAGGCCUACCAAGGCGACGAUCCGUAGCUGGUCUGAGAGGACGACCAGCCACACUGGGACUGAGACACGGCCCAGACUCCUACGGGAGGCAGCAGCGGGGAAUUUUGCCAAUGGGGGCAACCCUGAUCCA